rnacentral:misc_RNA from 1 species
UGAGUGGACUGUGAAGACUACUGGUAAUUUAUCUUGUCUUGUACCAUCCCUUUCUCCAACUUUUAACUUAGAAUGAGUUUUCUUUUCCUUUGUAGAAUUGUUCAAAUCAAAUCAUUUUUCUUCCUUUGCCAUGAAUUAUCAUUAUUAUCCAGAACACUGUAGAGAAAAUAUUUGGAGAUCUCAAUGGUUUUCAUCGGCUUUGAAUAUUUAGAUUAUUCCCUCUUUUGAUUUUAUGGCAAGUCUUGCAUAUCGAUAUUUUUUUAUGACCGUGACCACCACCAACAAGCUCUUAUACCAUUCAAAAGGACUGCCGCUGCCCUUUUUUAAAUUGCAAAUUUCACUGCAACUAAUAUUCAAUACAAGAGUCCACAGCUUUUUCACUAGUUAAUGAAUCUGCAACUCCGUUUCCUUGUUACUUAGUUUUGAGAUUUCACUUUUUUCAAUAUGACUUUGAAUACUCUGUAUUGACAUCUUUAAUUAUAUUAAUUAGUUGUUCAAAGUUAUACGUAAUGCAUAAUUUUUAUUUUAUUUUAUUUCCUAACAUCAACUUGAUUAUUGCAUUAAUUUUAUAACAAUAAUUCCCCAUUUCGGUCACCUCUGCCCGUAAUGUACUCAACCAG